UAUAUAUAUAUGUAUGUAUGUAUGUAAUAUAGCCUUACUUUGGGUGCUCAGUUAGUAACCAAUACUGGAUCUGGUUGAAAUGAAAAUAGAAUAGUUAGAAUAUGAAAGAAGUUAAGGGAGUUCUCGAACCUUUGUUGAUAAACGUAGGAUCACUGUUGAGACAUACAGCACAUCUUGGGCAUAUUUAUUACUGGCUGUCCUAAUUUCUCUUUAAUUCAGAAAAUUUUGAUUUUUCAUUUCAAUUUGAAUUUAGCUCUCUGAUUUGUAUAUUCUAGUCAUCAUUGUUAGGGAAAUAUUGACAUUGCAAAGAAAAGCUCAAAUGGGAUAGUUAAUCUUUGGUUAAGAUUUAUCUAUUUUAGAUUUAUCAUUUAUUUUGAAAUUAUUCGUUUCUUAUAAUUUCAUUGAAAAAGAAUUCGCUUCUUAAAAGAAAAAUUAUGAAGUAAUUAUCUCCCUUGGUUACAAACUAUAUUGUCACAGUCCACUAUCCCUCAUUAGAUAAAACACAGCAACUGGCAAUUCUGAUGUUAUAUAUAUAUAUAUAUAGCUAGAUAGAUAGAUAGUUACUUAAAUGUAUAUUUAGAUAUACAGACACAUGUGCUUAACUGACCAAUACCAAUAAAUGGUAUAUUAAGAACAGCUCAAAAUUAUUUUGCCAGGUGUAACUAAUGAAUUGAUUCUUUCAACACCUAUCACUGAUAUGACAUGGGACCCUACUGCAGUUUAUAGUUUUGUAGAUUGUUGUGUGAUAACCCAAAUAGGUUACACCAUUUCUUUUUCUUCAAUCUGGUCUUGUAUUCUCAAUCGUUCUGGUGGCUUACUAAGUCGAAAUAAACUAGACACUUCAAUUAGUGUGUGGCAGUUUUAACAAUUUACAGCUCAUUCGUAGUAGUUGGCAGCAACUCCACACAGAUUUUGAGCCUGGUGUAGUAAUUGAUGGUGUAUCAGUAUCAGGUUGUGUUUGGUACUCAUCAGCCUCUGCUGGAAUUGAAAAAAAAAGAAAUACCAUUUUUUGUUUUUUUUUGGUUAGUGAGCAGUGAUAUAAUUCUGAUAUGUUAUUAAUGUUUUUUUGAGUGGCUGGAUAUGGAUGGAGUUGAAGAAGUGGGUUGCUAUUGCAAAAAUUUGUCUGGUAUUAUGAGAUAAUUCGGUAAGGCAGUGAGCUGGCAGAAUCAUUAGCACACCAGGUAAACUGCUUAGUGGCAUUUCUCCUGGUUCUUCAUAUCCAGAGUUCAAAUUCUACCGAGGUUGACUUUGCCUUUCAUCCUUUUGGGGGGUCAAUAAAAUAAUUACUAGUACAGCCCUGGGGCUACUCUAAUCAACUUACCCUCCUCCCCUGAAAUUACUGGCCUUGCACCAAAACUUGAAACCAUUAAUAGAUAAUUAAGUCCUAUAAGUGUCCUAUUGAAGCAAGUGUUGUGUCAGGUGAAGAUGUUUGCAAUCUUGAACUAGUUUUCCCACAUGUGUGGAUGGACCAUCACCUGCUUGCUUGUUCUUUUUAUGAUAUACAGUGACCAAGUUUCUCUAUCUCCCUCUCUCUCUCACACUCUCCCCCUCUCUCAUGCUUGCUCUCUCUCUCUAGCAAUAAACUUUCCACCACCUUUUAAAAGAAAGAAAAGGUGCAUAUGUUUUUUAAAAUGUAAAUAUGAUUGAAGAAAGAAAUAUACCUAUAAUUGAGAUGAGAUGGUCACAAGUAACAAUAUACCUGUGUUCAAUAUAAAUAUGUGUGUGCUUGUCUGUUUAUACUGAUAUUACUGAUUAAAUAAUAAUAACAAUAAUAAUAAUAAUAAUAACUAAGGUGUAACUGAUAAAUUAAACCACUGAUUGACUUAAAGAAAAAUUAAUACUUUCAGUUUUGACCCACCUAUUACUAAUGUUUUAGUCACUCCACCCCCAACCCAUCCUGCCCUUAUUCCUCUCCUACACCCCCAGCCCUGCUUCCUUUAAAAUUAUUUCAUAUUUAAGCUAUGAAGAAAAAAAGAGCUGGAAUAUUUAUAUGUAGAUCUGACGCAUCUUAAUUCUGUGGUGAUAGCAAUAUUGUAUAUAGAUAUGACAUAUUUUACUUGUAUGACUGUAGUAAUACUGUGUGUUUAAAUCUGAUAUUUUUAAUUCUAAACAUAAAGCAAUACUGUACAAAGAUCUGACACAUCUUAAUCCUACAAUGAUUGCACUGUUGUAUAUAGAUAUAUCUCUUUACUCUUAUCAAGAUAGCACUAUUGUAUAUAGAUUUGCCAUGUCAGAAAUUCUAUUGCAAUAGCACAUUGUUCUAUAUAGAUUAGACAUGUCUUAAUUCUAAAAUAACAGCACUAUUUAAACAUAGAUAUGACAUGUCUUAUAUUCUAAAGUGGUGGCAUCUUUUAGUAUAGAUCUGACACAUCUUAAUUCUCUCACUAUAUUAUUAUUAUUGUAUGUGGAUCUGUGGUGAAUAUUGUAGAGUAGAGGUGAGCUCUCAGUGUGUUGAGUCUAUGACUCACUUUUUGACUCCAGGUUGUAGCCAUUUCACUUCAUUUAGAUUGCUAAUGUUUCUGAAAAAAAUAAAACCUAAAUGUUAUGCAAUCUUUUUUCACCCCGUCCCUCUAUAAUUCAGAGGCCUUGUGACACCUAUAUGAAAUCAAUAAUUGAUAUUUGUGUUAUAUACAUACAUAUAUACACACACACACAUACAUGCAUACAUACAUGCAUACAUACAUACAUACAUACAUACAUAUCAUAUAUAUAUAUAUAUAUAUAUAUAUACACACAUACAUACAUGCACACAUUAACUUAAAUAUAUGACUAUGUUCUCAAAUUAUAUGUAUUUUGUUUGCAUUUCUUCAAAUAUGAAUUUUGAUAUUUCAAAUUAAAAGCUAUCACUUACACACACACACACACACACACAAACUCUAUAUAUCUUUAGUCUUAGAGAAAGAUGUUUGUUGUUUACCUACAACAUUAAAUGUUUCAUCAACAUCUUAGCCAAUGCACAUGAUAUCUCAGCUACUCGAUAUAUCCUAGAUCUAGAAAUAAACCACAGAAGUUAAUAGCCUGCCCUUUCAGUAUAACCACUGUAGCCAUUACAUACAUGGUACAGAUAGGCAUGGUAGCAGUGUAUGGGGGCACGGUAGUGUUCUAUGAGAAUAUUCCUUCCUAUAAACACUUAACAUAGGGCUUGGGAGAAUCCUUAAAAUGGCAGAUAACUAAAUACCCUCUAGUAUUUAAUUGUGACUUCUUUUUUCUUGUUCGGAUUUGAAAUCCUGCCAAGGUCAAUUUUUCCUUUGAUCUUUCUAACGAUUAAUAAAAUAAAGUAGCAGUAAUGUACCAGGGAUCAGUUUAAUUAACUAUUCCCUUCUGAAAUUUGCUAGGACAAGUUCAGUGUAAAAUUUGAGAUUCCCUUGAUGAAUUUUUUCACUAUCUUUCAAAUAGGGACCACAAGGAGACUAGGGGAAUUCUAUAUCAGUUGCUAGGAGGUCUUGUUUUGUAUUAGUAUUAUGCAGUAAGCAGCUAAAUGGUUUUCAAGAGUUGGUUGGCCUUGUAAUUGCAGAUGGGGAUUCUGUAUUUUAAAGAGUUAAUUGUUAGUAAGAACAGAAAUUAAUGUCCUGCAAUAAAGAACAGAAAUUGGACAUCCAUUAGAAACAUAAAACAAAUGCUUCGUUUGAUUAGUGCCCUAGGUUUAGUAGGGAGGGGCAGCAAUGACAGAGCAGACCUCACAGAGCUAAACCAAUAACAACAACAACAAUAUGGAUGAACAGUCAGUCAAAAUAAA